rnacentral:rRNA from 1 species
GCAAGUCGAACGGUCGUAAGACAGUGGCGAACGGCUGAGGAAUACGUUGGAACAUCCCCCGAACUCAGGGAUAACUCCGCGAAAGCGGAGCUAAUACCGGAUAGUCUCGCAAGAGUAAAGAUUUUUCGGUUCGGGAAUGGCCUGCGUCCUAUCAGUUAGUUGGUGAGGUAAAGGCUUACCAAGACUAUGACGGGUAGCUGGUGUGAGAGCAUGACCAGCCAGAAUGGGACUGAGACACGGCCCAUACUCC